GGACUACUAGGGUUUCUAAUCCUGUUCGCUCCCCACGCUUUCGUACCUCAGCGUCAGGGUCGGCCCAGCAAGCUGCCUUCGCCAUUGGUGUUCUUCGUAAUAUCUACGCAUUUCACUGCUACACUACGAGUUCCACUUGCCUCUGCCGUCCUCUAGAUGCCCAGUAUGCGAUGCAACGACAGGGUUGAGCCCCACGAUUUAACAUCACACUUAAACAUCCGCCUACGCACGCUUUACGCCCAGUGAUUCCGGAUAACGCUUGGACCCUACGUAUUACCGCGGCUGCUGGCAC
rnacentral:rRNA from 1 species